rnacentral:rRNA from 1 species
CCUACGGGAGGCAGCAGUGGGGAAUAUUUGGCAAUGGGCGCAAGCCUGACCCAGCAAUGCCGCGUGAAUGAAGAAGGCUUUCGGGUUGUAAACUUCUUUGACAGGGGAAGAGCAGAAGACGGUACCCUGAAAACAAGCCACGGCUAACUACGUGCCAGCAGCCGCGGUAAUACGUAGGUGGCAAGCGUUGUCCGGAUUUACUGGGUGUAAAGGGCGUGUAGCCGGGAAGGCAAGUCAGAUGUGAAAUCUGGAGGCUCAACCUCCAAAUUGCAUUUGAAACUGUUUUUCUUGAGUACUGGAGAGGCAGACGGAAUUCCUGGUGUAGCGGUGAAAUGCGUAGAUAUAAGGAGGAACACCAGUGGCGAAGGCGGUCUGCUGGACAGCAACUGACGGUGAGGCGCGAAAGCGUGGGGAGCAAACAGGAUUAGAUACCCCUGUAGUC